GUAGUCCACGCCGUAAACGAUGCUAACUCGUUUUUGGGCCGCAAGGUUCAGAGACCAAGCGAAAGUGAUAAGUUAGCCACCUGGGGAGUACGUCCGCAAGGAUGAAACUCAAAGGAAUUGACGGGGGCCCGCACAAGCGGUGGAUUAUGUGGUUUAAUUCGAUGAUACGCGAGGAACCUUACCAAGACUUAAAUGGGGAUUGACAGGUUUGGAAACAGACCCUCCUUCGGGCAAUCUUCAAGGUGCUGCAUGGUUGUCGUCAGCUCGUGCCGUGAGGUGUUAGGUUAAGUCCUGCAACGAGCGCAACCCCUGCCAACAGUUGCCAUCAUUCAGUUGGGGACUCUGUUGGGACUGCCUACGCAAGUAGAGA
rnacentral:rRNA from 1 species